rnacentral:misc_RNA from 1 species
UCUCCGUAGGUGAACCUGCGGAGGGAUCAUUACAGAGGUCAUGCCCUACCGGGUAGAUCUCCCACCCUAUGUUAUUAUUACUUUGUUGCUUUGGCGGGCCGUUAGGCUCCGGCCCGACUACCGGCCCCGGCUGGUAAGCGCCCGCCAGAGGACCCAAAACCCUGAAUAUUAGUGUCGUCUGAGUACUAUAUAAUAGUUAAAACUUUCAACAACGGAUCUCUUGGUUCUG